GGUCCCGCCUGCCCUGUGACAUUAGUUUAACGGCCGCGGUAUACUAACCGUGCAAAGGUAGCGUAAUAACUUGCCUUUUAAAUGGAGGCCUGUAUGAAUGGCACCACGAGGGCCUAACUGUCUCCUUUUCCCAGUCAAUGAAACUAACCUACCCGUGCAGAGGCGGGUAUUCCCCCAUUAGACGAGAAGACCCUGUGGAGCUUACAGACAAAAAAGCAAAAGCCCUUAAAUAACUGAAUUUAAAUAAUUAAACUAGACUACCUUGCUUGACUGUCUUCGGUUGGGGCGACCACGGAGUAACACAUAACCCCCGAGAGGAAAGCUAUCUAUUUCUUGAGACUAGAGGGACCCCUCUAAUCACCAGAACCUCUGACCAACAGAUCCGGCUUAACCCGAUCCACGGACCAAGUUACCCCAGGGAUAACAGCGCAAUCCUCCUUAAGAGCCCCUAUCGACGGGAGGGUUUACGACCUCGAUGUUGGAUCAGGGCCUCCUAAUGGUGCAGCAGCUAUUGAGGGUUC
rnacentral:rRNA from 1 species